rnacentral:lncRNA from 1 species
AGUAUAUUAUGUAUUUUUCCCCUUUACUUAAGAACUGGAGCCAUGUGCAUACUAUAAAUUAUGGAAUACAUACAUUAUUUAUUAAUUAAAUUCUAACUAUAAAGUUAUAAAGCGGUACAAAUAUGGACGUCAUUAAACUAUUUUCAAAGGAAAUGUUUCAAUGUUUUCAUGUUUGAAUAGCUAAGUUAAUUGAUUGAACAUGUUUAAAUUUUAUUCACAUCCAUUUAUUAUCAAUUGAUUAAGGCUUAUAAUUAAUUCUAGAGAUACCAAAACAUUUGCAUGUUUUUUUAAAAAAAACCAAUUGCUCAAAAUAUGUUUCACUUCAAAGUGUCAACUUGCCAUAUUAAAUUAUUUCAACUUCAAAAUACAGCCAAAACAAACACAUUUUAAAAGCAGGGCAAUUUAAGUACAGAGUUGGUGAUAUUUUAGGUUGUCAUUACAAGUUCUCCUAGGCAGUUUAUUGGCAAAUAUGCUCUCAAAGACAAAGCUUCUGAACAGUAAAGAAAACACUUGGUUUAAAAACUACAUUCAGCCUAGACAGUCUUGAGAAUCCUAACUUCUUUGGAGUGCAAAUAGCUAGAUUUCAAAGAGAAUGAGAAAGCUGAAUACACACACUCCAGAGACGUCCUCAGAGCCCACAGUCAACAGGAGACGUGCUGGGAAAGUGAGCUCUCUUACCUGCCUCCAUCACUUCUUCAUAAAAGAAGAUGAAUACUUUCCAGACAAUGCUCUGAGCAGAAUUACUCCCAAAGCACUGGGGGAGGACUGCUUCUCCAUGGUACAACAAUCCCUCUAGUGGCUGGGUCAGAAGGGUAGGCAUUUCCAUGAGCUGUAGCCAUUAAUAAUUUGAACAGCAUCCUCCAAACCACUUGGUAGGCCUUUGUAUACUCCUAGGACACACAGAGGAUAUACCUAGAGAGCCAUGCGUCAGCAUUCUCUUGUAGUCUAGGCUCCAAAACUGUAAUCCAGCUUUGAUAUAUCUCAGUCCCUGAUUGGAUUAAGGUGAGCAGUUCUACUCUAUCUGCUUUUUUAAAAUUGAAUGAUCUGUCAGUUUUUCACAGAAAGUUUUUGAAGAGAAUCUUCAGAUAUGCCCUUGGUUAAGUCACUUCUUUCUGGGCAUCCAUUCCUGCAGAGAGGUUUUCUGGGGGUGGGGGGUUAUUUAUGCGUGUGUGGCUGAGGGGGUGGUUGGUUGCCAAUAUAUAAAAAUGUUGUUACAUAAAGAUUCAAACAUCCAACUUUCUAGCUACUUCAGAAGUCAGAUCUGGCAACACUGGGUCCAAAGUCUCAUGUGGUGGCCAAAGGAAAAUUCCUCCUGUGUCCUCCAAAGGUUUGCU